rnacentral:misc_RNA from 1 species
GGGGAAGUAUGUGGGGUUUAGGAGUAACAGCAGUAAUGCUCACAAUGGAGUUCUUGGAGGUAGCCAUGAACACUGUAAACAAAGCAGCCCUGGGUAAAGGCAUGAGUCAAUUUAUACUUGUGGUGUAUUCUAAUAUGAUUGGGGUACUCUUGCUUCUUUCAUCUUCCUUCAUCUUCUACAGAAAAAGAAUCGCUCCACCGCUUACAUGGUUCAUAACGGGAAGAAUUUUUGUUCUUGGUCUGCUCUGCUUCGCCGGUCAGGUGUUUACCUACAUUGGGUUAGGAUACAGCUCCCCAACUCUGGCCUCGGCGAUGACUGAUUUAACUCCAGCUUUUACUUUCAUACUUGGACUCGUCUCCAGGAUGGAAAGGCUGGACUUGCGAAGCAAAAGCAGUCAGGCCAAAUCUAUUGGCACCAUGGUAUUGAUCACAGGGGGAUUAGUCCUGACUUUAUACAAAGGUCUGCCAAUUACAGGCUCUCCAUCAUCAGGUAAUAAAUUGCAGAAUGAGCUGCUUCUUUUGCCUUCAUCAAAUUGGGCCAUUGGAGGUUUUUUUCUUGCAGCUCAUAGUUUCUUCCUGGCGCUAAUUUUUAUUUUCCAGACAUGGAUAAUCAGGGACUACCCAUCGGAGAUUCUCAUUACACUCGUUAGCUGUAUCUUUGUGACCAUCCUAUCAGCCACUGUCUCUCUGAUCGCAGAGGAAGAUCCAAAUGCCUGGCGAAUAAGGCCCAAUAUUGAGUUGGUAGCUAUUGGGUACUCGGCAGCUUUUGCAGUAUCACUUCGAAGCAUUGUUCAUACAUGGGCAUGCCACAAGAAAGGGCCUGUCUACAC